GAGUUUGAUCUUGGCUCAGAUUGAACGCUGGCGGCGUGCUUAACACAUGCAAGUCGAGCGGUAACAGGCGUAGCAAUACGUGCUGACGAGCGGCGAACGGGUGAGUAAUGCUUCGGAAUCUUCCUCGUAGUGGGGAAUAACCUGGGGAAACUCAGGCUAAUACCGCAUACGAACUACGGUUGAAAGCAGGGGAUCGCAAGACCUUGCGCUAUGAGAUGAGCCGAAGUCGGAUUAGCUAGUUGGUGAGGUAAAGGCUCACCAAGGCGACGAUCCGUAGCUGGUCUGAGAGGACGACCAGCCACACUGGGACUGAGACACGGCCCAGACUCCUACGGGAGGCAGCAGUGGGGAAUAUUGGACAAUGGGGGCAACCCUGAUCCAGCGACGCCGCGUGUGUGAAGAAGGCCUGCGGGUUGUAAAGCACUUUUAGUGGGGAUGAAAAGCCGAAGGCUAAUACCUUUCGGUCUUUGACCUAACCCAAAGAAAAGCACCGGCUAACUCUGUGCCAGCAGCCGCCGUAAC
rnacentral:rRNA from 1 species